CUGUUACAAUCGGGACUUCAAAAAUUACACAAAAUCUAAUUCAAACAUUCUAAAAACAAUACGAAUCAAAGAAAAAACUUCCUAAAACAUAUCAAUAUAACAUUAAGACUCUAACCCUAAUUUUCAUUAUAAAUAAGAGGACCUAAUUCCUGUAAACAAUCAUGAUUCACAUAGCAGAAACUCUAAGAGUUGUUGUUCUUUGCAUUGAAGAACAACAACCUAAGAAACUCUAAUUUAAAGCUCCAUUGCACAACCUUCACCAUCUCUAGUUUACCUCAUAGACAAAAAGAAAAAGAAGGUGAGUUAGAGAAGGAUUCAAAAAGAAUAAUAGAAAAGAGAGUGGAAAAGUAGUCAAACUAAACUAGCAUUACCUUUUUUUUAAACCAAAGAAAAAUUCCUCUCUGUAGGUUGUCAAUUCAUCCUUCUGCAUUAUAUUGAUCUUAUAUGUUUUCUUGCAUACUGUAUGUUUGUAUUGUUUAUGUUUGGAUUAUGUUUGAUGUAGUCUGGAUAGGGUUUGGGGUUAAAAAACAUGAUUUGAGGAUUUAGGGUUAGAUUUGUUUAGAUUUUGAUCUCUGUGUUUGAAGGUUUGAUUUAUGUUCAGAAUAUUGGGAUCUUGGGUUUAGGAUAAGUUUGGGGUGGAUUUGGAGUAGUUUAAGGUAACUCUGGGUAGGUUAGGGUUUUUGGAUGAAGUUUAGGGAUGAAGCUUGUUAUUCUGGGUUGGAGAAGAGUUAAGGUUCAUGUGUGAUAUGGUUAAGGUUCUUAUGGGUUAAGGUUAGAGUUAGGGUUCUUCAAAGUUGGGGUUAGGGUUCAUCUGAUUUGGGGUAGGGUUAUAGAAUAAGGAUGAAGGUGUUAAGAUCCUGGUUGAGCUUCAAACAAAAUCUAGGUUGGACGGUGGUUCCUAGGGCGACCUGAGGUGGCCGAGGGUUGAAUAUGGUUGUUUUGGGUUGAGUGUUCAUCAUUAGGAUGAACACCGAUUGAAGGUAUUGGUCCCUGAGGAUGAUUAGGGUAGCUUAGGUGGUGGUUUUAGUGUUCAAGGGGUGGCUCAAAGAUGGGAAGUUAGAGAGAGGUGAUAACAGAGAGAGAAAAGAAGAGAGAAAUGAGAGUUAGAGGGAUAAAAUUAAAUGGAAAUGGUUCCAUUUCUAAAGGGGGUGGC
rnacentral:lncRNA from 1 species